rnacentral:rRNA from 1 species
CCUACGGGCGGCAGCAGUGGGGGAUAUUGCACAAUGGGGGGAACCCUGAUGCAGCGACGCCGCGUGGGUGAAGAAGCGCCUCGGCGCGUAAAGCCCUGUCAGCAGGGAAGAAAAUGACGGUACCUGAAGAAGAAGCCCCGGCUAACUACGUGCCAGCAGCCGCGGUAAUACGUAGGGGGCAAGCGUUAUCCGGAUUUACUGGGUGUAAAGGGGGCGCAGCCGGCGAUGCAAGCCAGGAGGGAAUGCCCGGGGCACACCUCCGGAACUGCUCUUGGAACUGCGUGGCUGGAGUGCAGGAGGGGCGGGCGGAAUGGCUGGUGUAGCGGUGAAAUGCGAAGAUAUCAGGAGGAACACCGUGGGCGAGGGCGGCCUGCUGGACUGCAACGGACGUUGAGGCCCGAAAGCGUGGGGAGAAAACAGGAUUAGAUACCCGUGUAGUC